GACCUUUUGUAGUUCAUGAGGGUGAUGAUUGGGAGUUCCUGUGCAUGUGUGAGAUGUGCUGCCUUCGAAUCUUGUUACCAUGGGCACAUUACCAGUCUGACA
rnacentral:snoRNA from 1 species